rnacentral:rRNA from 1 species
AAGUCGAACGGUAACAGAUCUAGCUUGCUAGAUGCUGACGAGUGGCGCACGGGUGCGUAACGCGUAUACAAUCUACCUCUAACUGAGGGAUAGCCCAGAGAAAUUUGGAUUAAUACCUCAUAGUAUUAUAUUAAGGCAUCUUUUUAUAAUUAAAACUCCGGUGGUUAGAGAUGAGUAUGCGUCCUAUUAGCUAGUUGGUAAGGUAAUAGCUUACCAAGGCUACGAUAGGUAGGGGGCCUGAAAGGGUGAUCCCCCACACUGGUACUGAGACACGGACCAGACUCCUACGGGAGGCAGCAGUGAGGAAUAUUGCACAAUGGAGGAAACUCUGAUGCAGCCAUGCCGCGUGCAGGAUGAAUGCCCUAUGGGUUGUAAACUGCUUUUAUACAAGAAGAAACAUCAGUACGUGUACUGACUUGACGGUAUUGUAUGAAUAAGCACCGGCUAACUCCGUGCCAGCAGCCGCGAUAAUACGGAGGGUGCAAGCGUUAUCCGGAUUUAUUAGGUUUAAAGGGUCCGCAGGCGGAAUAUUAAGUCAGUGGUGAAAGCCUACAGCUCAACUGUAGAACUGCCAUUGAAACUGUUAUUCUUGAGUAUGGAUGAAGUGGGCGGAAUAUGUCAUGUAGCGGUGAAAUGCAUAGAUAUGACAUGGAACACCAAUUGCGAAAGGCAGCUCACUAAACCAUUACUGACGCUCAUGGACGAAAGCGUGGGGAGCGAACAGGAUUAGAUACCCUGGUAGUCCACGCCGUAAACGAUGAUCACUAGAUGUUGGC